UUGUGGUGUUGUUUUCCUUGCAGGGAAGCUAUUGAUUUGAGGAAUUUGAAGGUUUCUGGAGGAAGGACUUGGAAAAUUUGAAGUGAACCUCUUUUGGGAAUUAAAAGCUUCCAAAGUCAUGUUGCUGAUAUUGAAAUGUCAAUUCCUUGACCUUUGGAUGCACAUGGGAGUCUCAGAGAACAUUCCAAGCAUUUGAAAGCUUUUGCAUGGCAGGAGACAGAGAGAAACCCUGAAAGGAAGACUGAACCACAGGAUUUCUGACCCUCUAGGCAAUGCCUCUGAGAACCUUGGAAUGGAGAAAGGGAACAAUGUCAUCUGCACUCAGUCAUGGAGGAAACAGCUGGACAAGUCAGCACAGGGCGGAGGUGACCGGUGGAGGCGACUAGGACUUCUUCAGGCAGCAUCUGAAGUCUCUCUGAAAACACAAGAAAAGAAUAUACAGAGAACCUCCCAGAAACUGCAAGUCCCAUGGAAAUUAAGGCCAUUAGUGUUUUGUAUAAUAAACAGUCACCUUUGC
rnacentral:lncRNA from 1 species